UGCCCCAUGGCUGAGUUGGUUACAGCGUCCGACUGUUAACAUUGCAGGCAAUCGGAAGGUCGUGAGUUCGAGCCUCACUGGGGCAG